ACUUCAUGAUUUGGGCAUUGGAGGAAAUUUCCUUUAAAUCAUUCCCAAGCUUUAAAAAAUAACUCUCCAUUCAUUUGCCAAAAAUUCACAAUCUCGUCCAACU
rnacentral:snoRNA from 1 species